GACGAACCGUGCGAACGUUAUUCGGAAUCACUGGGCUUAAAGGGUGCGUAGGCGGGCACGCGAGUCAGGGGUGAAAUCCCUCAGCUUAACUGGGGAACUGCGUCUGAUACUGGUUGGCUUGAGUGCAGGAGAGGAAUGCGGAAUUCCAGGUGUAGCGGUGAAAUGCGUAGAUAUCUGGAGGAACACCGGUGGCGAAGGCGGCAUUCUGGACUGCAACUGACACUGAAAGACGAAAGCCAGGGGAGCAAACGGG
rnacentral:rRNA from 1 species